AGAGUUUGAUCAUGGCUCGAGGACGAACGCUGGCGGGCGUGCUUAACACAUGCAAGUCGAACGGUAAGGCCCUUCGGGGUACACGAGUGGCGAACGGGUGAGUAACACGUGGGUGAUCUGCCCUGCACUUCGGGAUAAGCCUGGGAAACUGGGUCUAAUACCGGAUAGGACUCCUGGCUUCAUGGUUGGGGGUGUAAAGCUUUUGCGGUGUGGGAUGGGCCCGCGGCCUAUCAGCUUGUUGGUGGGGUAAUGGCCUACCAAGGCGACGACGGGUAGCCGGCCUGAGAGGGUGACCGGCCACACUGGGACUGAGAUACGGCCCAGACUCCUACGGGAGGCAGCAGUGGGGAAUAUUGCACAAUGGGCGCAAGCCUGAUGCAGCGACGCCGCGUGAGGGAUGACGGCCUUCGGGUUGUAAACCUCUUUCAAUAGGGACGAAGCGCAAGUGACGGUACCUAUAGAAGAAGGACCGGCCAACUACGUG
rnacentral:rRNA from 1 species